AAAGAUGAAGAGUAUUAUAUCCCUUACAGACCUAAAGACUUUGACUCUGAGAGAGGGUUGAGUCUCGGUGGAGAGGGCAGUGCUUUUGAACAGCAGGCCUCUUCAGCUGUCCUUGAUCUCAUGGGAGAUGAAGGCGAUCGCCUUAACCAGCAGAAGAAAAUGAUGAAAUGGGACCGUAAGAGGAAGCGUUUUGUGAGAGAAACGGGAAAAGAAGACCAGAAGAAGAAGAUCAAAACAGACAGCGGUCAGGUUAUCAGUAACAAGAAGAACAGGAAGAACUUUUAUGAGGAGUGAAGGAAAAAAUACAAGAUUGAUGAUACAGGAUCUGGAUCAGAUGGAGAAACAGGCGGAGGAGGCAGGAAGCCAGCAAGAGGUCGUGGCCGUGGCCGACGAGGUCCAAACGUACAGAGCUCCGGUGACCACAAAGCACGCUCGGAGCUGAAAACAAAGGAUCAGAUCAUGAAGCAGCGCAAGAAAAAGCAGAAGCACCAGUUCCUGCAGGGCGGGGGGAUGAGGAAGCUCCGCUCCAAGAACAAAAAGUUAAAAGUUAAAAAGUCAGGUUUUGGAAGGGGUGGCCAUAAGAAAGGCAAGCUGAGGAAGAAACUGGGAGGAGGACAGAGGGUUGAUGGUGUGGAGGACAUCACGAGGAACUGGGUGAUAAGCGUCAGAAUCAUCUGAGAACAUCACCAAAGAUUUUCCUGGCGCUUUGUGUGACUGUAGAUUAAGGAGAAAAUCAUUUGUGAAUCUUUACACUGCAGAAAUGCACGUCACUUCUUCCUUGAUGGCCUGCUGAACUCUGCGUUUGCCACAGAGUUAUGUUUAAUUAUGAUCCACUAACCUGGAUUUACUACUUGUAAGCAUGUUGGCAGUCUAAUAAAAGUGUUUUGGAGUACUGAAAUAUGUCUUAUCAAAAUGGUAAAAUACAGAUAUUAAAUAUUGUGUGCUUAAUUUGCAGUUAGUUUCAAAAAUCGUCUCGCCCAUCUUUUCUUAAAAUAAGAGGUGCUCUAUAAAAAUGACAUUAAAUUCUGUAAACGUGCUCUAUUUGC